rnacentral:rRNA from 1 species
CUAGCGACUUCAGAGUUUGAUCCUGGCUCAGGAUGAACGCUAGCUACAGGCUUAACACAUGCAAGUCGAGGGCAGCAGGAACUUAGCUUGCUAAGUUUGCUGGCGACCGGCGCACGGGUGAGUAACGCGUAUCCAACCUGCCCAUUACUCUGGGAUAGCCUUGCGAAAGUAAGAUUAAUACCGGAUGUUGUUUGAUUGCCGCAUGACGGUCAAACCAAAGAUUUAUUGGUAAUGGAUGGGGAUGCGUGACAUUAGGUAGUUGGUGAGGUAACGGCUCACCAAGCCCACGAUGUCUAGGGGAUCUGAGAGGAAGGUCCCCCACACUGGAACUGAGACACGGUCCAG